rnacentral:rRNA from 1 species
GGGCCCGCACAAGCGGUGGAGUAUGUGGUUUAAUUCGAUGCAACGCGAAGAACCUUACCUGGGCUAAAUCCACAGUGAUGUCUUCUGGAAACAGGAGGUCCCUUAGGGGCACUAUGGAAGGUGCUGCAUGGCUGUCGUCAGCUCGUGCCGUGAGGUGUUGGGUUAAGUCCCGCAACGAGCGCAACCCCCUGUGGUUAGUUACCAGCACGUAAAGGUGGGGACUCUAGCCAGACUGCCUACGCAAGUAGUGAGGAAGGUGGGGACGACGUCAAGUCAUCAUGGCCCUUACGUCCAGGGCUGCACACGUGCUACAAUGGUCGGUACAAUGGUCGCACCCAGCGAUGGG